GGUCCCAUAGUUCAAUGGAUAGAACGGAGGUUUCCUAAACCUUAAAUUCAGGUUCGAUUCCUGGUGGGNNACCCCCU
rnacentral:tRNA from 1 species